AGAAUCAACGCUGGCGGCGUGCCUAACACAUGCAAGUCGCACGAGAAAGGGACUUCGGUCCUGAGUACAGUGGCGCACGGGUGAGUAACACGUGAAUCAUCUACCUCCGAGUGGGGAAUAACUGAGAGAAAUCUUAGCUAAUACCGCAUAACACUUACGAGUCAAAGCAGCAAUGCGCUUGGAGAGGAGUUCGCGGCAGAUUAGUUAGUUGGCGGGGUAAUGGCCACCAAGACGAUGAUCUGUA
rnacentral:rRNA from 1 species